UUGUGCUUGCUUUGGCCCCAUAUACAAUAAAAUCGGAAAGAUACAUAGAUUAACAUGGCCUCUGUGCAAGGAGUCCAUGCACAUCUGUGAAGCAAUCCAUAGUUUU
ensembl:snRNA U6 U6 spliceosomal RNA